ACCUGGUUGAUCCUGCCAGUAGCAUAUGCUUGUCUCAAAGAUUAAGCCAUGCAUGUCUAAGUACGCACGGCUGGUACAGUGAAACUGCGAAUGGCUCAUUAAAUCAGUUAUGGUUCCUUUGGUCGCUCGCUCCUCUCCUACUUGGAUAACUGUGGUAAUUCUAGAGCUAAUACAUGCCGACGGGCGCUGACCCCCUUCGCGGGGGGGAUGCGUGCAUUUAUCAGAUCAAAACCAACCCGGUCAGCUCCCUCCCGGCCCCGGCCGGGGGGCGGGCGCCGGCGGCUUUGGUGACUCUAGAUAACCUCGGGCCGAUCGCACGCCCUCCGUGGCGGCGACGACCCAUUCGAACGUCUGCCCUAUCAACUUUCGAUGGUA
rnacentral:rRNA from 1 species